AUGCAGGUACAGUUACAAUAUAACUGAAGUGUGUUCUAUUGUCGUUCCCCCUGCUUAAAGUAUUUGAUACAUUACUAUCUCUGUCUAACUCCAUUCCAUGUUGAGACUGAGACACUUGGUCUCAAACAU
ensembl:snoRNA SNORA63 Small nucleolar RNA SNORA63